rnacentral:rRNA from 1 species
CCUACGGGUGGCAGCAGUGGGGAAUAUUGCGCAAUGGGCGAAAGCCUGACGCAGCGACGCCGCGUGGGUGAUGAAGGCCUUCGGGUUGUAAAGCCCUGUCGGGUGGAACGAACGAUCUGGCGGCGAAUAACCGCCGGGUGUGACGGUACCACCGAAGGAAGCCCCGGCUAACUCUGUGCCAGCAGCCGCGGUAAUACAGAGGGGGCAAGCGUUCUUCGGGAUUAUUGGGCGUAAAGGGCGAGUCGGCGGUGUAAUCCCCGAGCUCAACUUGGGAACUGCAUCUGAGACUGGAAGGCUAGAGUACUGGAGAGGGUGGUGGAAUUCCUCGUGUAGCGGUGAAAUGCGUAGAGAUGAGGAGGAACACCAGUGGCGAAGGCGGCCACCUGGACAGUAACUGACGCUGAGGCGCGAAAGUGUGGGUAGCAAACAGGAUUAGAUACCCUAGUAGUC